UACGGGGGGGGCAAGCGUUGUUCGGAAUUACUGGGCGUAAAGGGCUCGUAGGCGGCCAACUAAGUCAGACGUGAAAUCCCUCGGCUUAACCGGGGAACUGCGUCUGAUACUGGAUGGCUAGAGGUUGGGAGAGGGAUGCGGAAUUCCAGGUGUAGCGGUGAAAUGCGUAGAUAUCUGGAGGAACACCGGUGGCGAAGGCGGCAUCCUGGACCAAUUCUGACGCUGAGGAGCGAAAGCUAGGGGAGCAAACGGG
rnacentral:rRNA from 1 species